GACGUAGGGGGCCAGCGUUGUUCGGAAUUACUGGGUGUAAAGGGUUCGUAGGCGGUGCGGCAAGUUGGGAGUGAAAUCUCUGGGCUUAACCCAGAGGCUGCUUCCAAAACUGCUGUGCUUGAGUGUGGGAGAGGCGCGUGGAAUUGCAGGUGUAGCGGUGAAAUGCGUAGAUAUCUGGAGGAACACCGGUGGCGAAGGCGGCAUCCUGGACCGGUAUUGACGCUGAGGCGCGAAAGCCAGGGGAGCAAACGGG
rnacentral:rRNA from 1 species